rnacentral:rRNA from 1 species
UACGUAGGGGGCAAGCGUUGUCCGGAAUCAUUGGGCGUAAGGCGCGUGUAGGCGGUUCGGUAAGUCUGCUGUGAAAGUCCAGGGCUCAACCCUGGGAUGCCGGUGGAUACUGUCGGACUAGAGUACGGAAGAGGCGAGUGGAAUUCCCGGUGUAGCGGUGAAAUGCGCAGAUAUCGGGAGGAACACCAAUUGCGAAGGCAGCUCGCUGGGACGUCACUGACGCUGAGACGCGAAAGCGUGGGGAGCAAACAGGG